CAUGAAGUUUCGUGCCGUUCCGACCUCGUUUGAUACGGUUAUGGUUAACCACACGGCCCCUCGGGCCCGACCCGAGCCCAGUCAACGUUUUGACCCGAUCAAAUCGGCCCGUGACCCGAAACGACCCUACUUGGGCCCUACAACAGCCACGUAAAGUUUCGGGAUGAUCCGACGUUCUUUCAUGGGGUUACGGACAAUCCACGCCAAACAAGCGUCACGGGCCGACCGAGCCGGGCCAACGGGCCCUCGGGACCCGAAAACUGAAUUUUUUUUCAUCCAAACCCAUUAAAACACGUUACCGAGGUCUCACGCAAAAUUUCAUGCCAAUCCGACGUCGUUUGAUGGGGUUUUGAAAAAUUAUGAUUCCUCAAAAAUUUAAUGUCUGUUCCUGUCACUUAGCUUUUUGUGCAAAAUGUAUAUAUAGGGGAGGGGUGGGUGUUGAGCAGCCCAUGCCCGGGCAAGGCAUGCCAGCGCCCAAGCCAAAGGAGGCUGGUGGCGUGCGUAUAACAGCUCAAAUGCCCCAACGAUGACCGAGAACAAGCGCCCAUCUCCCCUCCUUCCCCCCCACCAAGCGCCCCUCCCCCCCCAUGUUGCCUGCCCACUCGCACAGCUACUCGUGAUUUCAUGCCCAGCGACUAGUGAAUGUGCCUCGACGACCAGCAAACCUCGAAAAUUAUGAUUCCUCGUAAAAUUAAUGUCUGUUCCUGUCACUUUACUUUUUGUGCAAAAUGUAUAUAUAGGGGAGACCAGGGGCUUGAGCAACCCCUGUGCCCAAGCAAGGGUCAGAUGGAAGCACACGAGACGCGAGGUUUAAAGCCUAUACAAGCAAGGCGUCUGUCUCCCCAAGCCCCAUUGCCUAUAAAACAAGCCCGAUGCCUUGUAAAUGCCCCACACGAUGCCUAUAAACGACAACGAUGUUUGCUAGUUAAUCGAUCGACGCCCCACACCUUGCAGCAUGUUGCCUAGUAAACAAGCCAUGCUGCCUUGGAAGCGCCCCACAUCAUGGCAUGUUGCCUAGCACGCUGCCCUUGUUUCCCGCACGGCGACCUGAAAGCGUGGCCUGACGACGUGCUUGCCUUCGAAAAUUAUGAUUCCUCAAAAAAUUAAUGUCUGUUCCUGUCACUUUACUUUUUGU
rnacentral:rRNA from 1 species